rnacentral:rRNA from 1 species
AAUCAACGCUGGCGGCGUGCCUAACACAUGCAAGUCGAACGAGAAAGUGGAGCAAUCCAUGAGUAAAGUGGCGACCGGGUGAGUAACACGUGACUAACCUACCCUUGAAUGGGGAAUAACCUUCCGAAAGGAGGGCUAAUACCGCAUAAAGUCCUAAGGAUGAAACGCCUAAGGACCAAAGGAGCAAUUCGUUUAAGGAGGGGGUCGCGGUUGAUUAGCUAGUUGGUGGGGUAAUGGCCCACCAAGGCGAUGAUCAAUAGCCGGCCUGAG